UACGAAGGGAGCUAGCGUUGUUCGGAAUCACUGGGCGUAAAGCGCACGUAGGCGGAUGUGUCAGUCAGGGGUGAAAUCCCGGAGCUCAACUUCGGAACUGCCUUUGAUACAGCACGUCUUGAGUCCGAUAGAAGUGGGUGGAAUUCCUAGUGUAGAGGUGAAAUUCGUAGAUAUUAGGAAGAACACCGGUGGCGAAGGCGGCCCACUGGAUCGGUACUGACGCUGAGGUGCGAAAGCGUGGGGAGCAAACAGG
rnacentral:rRNA from 1 species